UAUACCCCUUCUUUCAUUUCUCUAUUUCCUUAUCUCACUCAGCCACCGAAGCCCACACAAUAUACACACUCUAGCUCCCUCUAAUUCUCUCACUUCCUCACCAGUAAACCAACCAUCUACCACCACGUUUGGCGGAUUUCACCGGAGAACCCCAUUAGAAACCCCAUACGCUCCAUUCUCUCAAGCUUUAAAGGUUCCGAUAUUCUUGGUGAUGGACCUAGUGACUGGAUUAGUUGAUUUUAUGGUGCCCAGUUGAGGUAAAAUUGGUUGGCCUUCCGAGAUAAAUUCUCUAUACCUCAGGCAUGGAGCUUGUUUUAUUGGUGGUGAUUGGAGCAUUAUGCUAAGUGAGAGAUUUAUGCUAUGAUUGGUUGGUGACUCAAUCUUGCAAAGUUCAAUGAGAUCAUAAUCAAUUCGAUUGGAGGUUGGAUACUUCAGGUCUGUUAGCCUUGGGUGUGGUAGGUCUAGAUUUUCUAUUGGGGUUGCAUACUUUAAAGAGGAUCAUGACUUUGUGUUUAUUUUAUUUGGAACGUUGGAUUGUUAAGCGUAUUUGGAGUCACAUGAUUGUAGUUUGUUUUGCUUGUAAAUGUGUCAUAGAGCUCUGACUUGUAUUGUGGAGAGAUCAAUAUAUUUAUUUAUUUUAUCAAA